GAUGUCCUGAAUCAUUUCGGAAUACAUUUGUGUACAAAGCUGUUCUGUACUCAGAUCCAUCUUUGACAAACUGUGUAGUUUUGGCAAUCUAUUCUGAUAAUAAGAUGGCAUUUGCAAAACCCAGUGAUGUAGCCUGGACCCCGUUGCAAUGUGGUCCUGCACUUGUCAAUGAUGUCAUUGGUUUUGGUGGGAAUUUCUAUGCUAUUGAUUCUUGUGGAGACAUUAGAGUCUACGAUUUUGAAGGUGCUCAUUUAAAGACCGUAUCUUUACCAGUAAAAAAUGUGGAUAAUGAGGUUGCUGAAACCUCUAUGUAUCUUGUGGAGCUAGGAGGGCAAAUACAUGUAGUCCAAAGAAAAAUGUAUGACUUUGAAAUUUUUGGUCUCCCAGUUCGUAGAACAUGGACGUUUGUGGGUUACUGGGUGGAUGUCUGCAAUGAGAAGUGGGAAGAAGUGAAGUCUUUGGGUGACUGGUGUAUCUUUAUUGGAAGCGAUCAUUCUUUCUCCAUUUCAGCUUCUGAUUACCCAGAGUGCCUUAGGAAUUGCAUAUAUUUCACUGAUGAUUAUUCUGGACUAUAUUACAGUACAACAACUUACUCGAGAUAUGGCAUGGGUGCAUAUGACUUAGAUGACCCCAUGAUACAUAUUUUACUUCACGAGGAUAUUUCUCAUUUCAAGUUUUCUCUGCCAGUUUGGAUCAAGUCCAGUUUUUGUUUGACUCCCUUCCAAAACCUACUACAAAUACAAAAACAUGAUGGUGCUGCAUUACAAAUCCUUGCUGGUACAACUAAGCUAUCAGUGUAACAAAAGUAGGGUGCUGCUCAGGAACGAAGGAAACAACAUAUGACAAAUGAUUGAUGAAGUACAACAUUUGAAAGAUGAGUCAUCAUUGGGAAGCAUUUUGAAGUGCAAUGAGUAAACUGUGACCAAGUGUAAUUUGGAUGAGUAAUGAAACAAUAGUUAAGUUGAAUUGUAAUUUAUUUAAUGGUUGUAACUUGUCCGUUAGCCACAUCAGGGAAUAAGGUAACGGAUUUUUUUAGGGUGAUGGAUGGAGUGCAAAUGGAUAAAGUUCAGUGAGCACUGUGAAGCGUUUUGAAAUUUUAGCAAAUGGAGUCUGAAGUAUAAAAGAGCAGCAGCUGGUGGAUACAUGUUAAACAAGCUUCUGAUGGGACAAAAUGAACAGCUUUUGAUGCGCAUGAAGAUAUUGUACCUUGACGAUGAUCCAUUUUAGGUCGUUGUUUGGUAAGACGAGAGGAAUAAGUGCUAAAGCUACAGCUAUUUUGUAUUUUCAUUUGUAUGAUAUGUAGUCGAAUUGAUCAGAAAGGUAGCCUAUGGGUUUGCAUAUGAAGAGAAACCAAAGCUCAAGACUAUUCGACUAGAAAGGUAGCCUAUGGGUUUGCAUAUGAAGAGACUACCAAAGCUCAAGACUAUCUCAUUGCAAAAUACUUUUGUGUAGAUGCGUACUUUUUAAAUAGAUACUUUUUAAGCUAA